ACGGGUGAGUAAUGCUUAUCUUACCUGCCAUUUAGUGGGGGAUAAAAUUCCGCAUAUUAUGAGUAAUCAUGAAAGGGCUAUCGGGCUCGCUAAUUGAUGGGGAUAAGUCGCAUCAGCCGAUGAAAGUGGGGUAAUGGCUCACUGAGGCAAUGACGCGUAGCCGGGCUGAGAGGCUGAUCGGCCACAAGGGAACUGAAACACGGUCCCUACUCCUACGGGAGGCAGCAGUGGGGAAUAUUUUGCAAUGGGGGAAACCCUGACAGAGCAAUACUACGUGAAGGAGGAAGGUCUACGGAUUGUAAACUUCUUUACUUAAAUGUACUAGCCGCAAGGUUUUGCAUUUGAGCAAAAAGCGACGACUAACUAUGUGCCAGCAGUCGCGGUAAGACAUAGGUCGCGAACGUUAUCCGGAAUUAUUGGGCGUAAAGGAUGCGUAGAUGGUUCAGUAAGUUACUGGUGGGAAAUCGAGGCCCAACCUCGUGGAAGUCAGUAAUACUGUUGAACUUGAGUGCAGGAGAGGUUAACGGAACUUCAUGUGGAGCGGUAAAAUGCGUAGAUAUAUGAAAGAACAUCAAUAUAGCGAAGGCAGUUAACUAUUCUGCUACUGACAUUGAGGCAUGAAAGCGUGGGGAGCAAAACGGAUUAGAUACCCGUGUAGUCCACGCCCUAAACGAUGAGUGCUAGAUAUUGGGAACUUGAUUCUCAGUGUCGCUAGGUAACCCGGUAAGCACUCCGCCUGGGGAGUACGCUCGCAAGAGUGAAACUUAAAGGAAUUGACGGGGACUCGCACAAGCAGUGGAGCAUGUGGUUUAAUCCGAUACAACGCGUAGAACCUUACCAAGGCUUGACAUGUUCGGCAAAACUGUGGAAACACAGCGGAGGUUAUCCGGACACAGGUGCUGCAUGGCCGUCGUCAGUUCGUGCCGUGAGGUGUAUGGUUAAGUCCUAUAACGAACGCAACCCUUGGGCUUAGUUGCCAGCAUUAAGUUGGGGACUCUAAGCCGACUGCCUGAGUAAUCAGGAGGAAGGAAAGGAUGACGUCUGGUCGUC
rnacentral:rRNA from 1 species